rnacentral:rRNA from 1 species
GAUGAACACUGGCGGCGUGCCUAAUACAUGCAAGUCGAGCGAACGGACGAGAAGCUUGCUUCUCUGAUGUUAGCGGCGGACGGGUGAGUAACACGUGGAUAACCUACCUAUAAGACUGGGAUAACUUCGGGAAACCGGAGCUAAUACCGGAUAAUAUUUUGAACCGCAUGGUUCAAAAGUGAAAGACGGUCUUGCUGUCACUUAUAGAUGGAUCCGCGCUGCAUUAGCUAGUUGGUAAGGUAACGGCUUACCAAGGCAACGAUGCAUAGCCGACCUGAGAGGGUGAUCGGCCACACUGGAACUGAGACACGGUCCAGACUCCUACGGGAGGCAGCAGUAGGGAAUCUUCCGCAAUGGGCGAAAGCCUGACGGAGCAACGCCGCGUGAGUGAUGAAGGUCUUCGGAUCGUAAAACUCUGUUAUUAGGGAAGAACAUAUGUGUAAGUAACUGUGCACAUCUUGACGGUACCUAAUCAGAAAGCCACGGCUAACUACGUG